rnacentral:rRNA from 1 species
UACGGAGGGUGCAAGCGUUAUCCGGAUUCACUGGGUUUAAAGGGUGCGUAGGCGGCGCGGUAAGUCGGGUGUGAAAUCUCGGAGCUUAACUCCGAAACUGCAUUCGAUACUGCCGUGCUUGAGGACUGGAGAGGAGACUGGAAUUUACGGUGUAGCGGUGAAAUGCGUAGAUAUCGUAAGGAAGACCAGUGGCGAAGGCGGGUCUCGUGGACAGUUCCUGACGCUGAGGCACGAAGGUCAGGGGAGCAAACGGG